UACGAAGGGGGCUAGCGUUGCUCGGAAUCACUGGGCGUAAAGCGCACGUAGGCGGCUUCUUAAGUCAGGGGUGAAAUCCUGGAGCUCAACUCCAGAACUGCCUUUGAUACUGGGAGGCUCGAGUCCGGAAGAGGUGAGUGGAACUGCGAGUGUAGAGGUGAAAUUCGUAGAUAUUCGCAAGAACACCAGUGGCGAAGGCGGCUCACUGGUCCGGUACUGACGCUGAGGUGCGAAAGCGUGGGGAGCAAA
rnacentral:rRNA from 1 species